UAGGGAAUCUUCGGCAAUGGACGAAAGUCUGACCGAGCAACGCCGCGCGAGUGAAGAAGGUUUUCGGAUCGUAAAACUCUGUUGUUAGAGAAGAACAAGGACGUUAGUAACUGAACGUCCCCUGACGGUAUCUAACCAGAAAGCCACGGCUAACUACGUGCCAGCAGCCGCGGUAAUACGUAGGUGGCAAGCGCUGUCCGGAUUUAUUGGGCGUAAAGCGAGCGCAGGCGGUUUCUUAAGUCUGAUGUGAAAGCCCCCGGCUCAACCGGGGAGGGUCAUUGGAAACUGGGAGACUUGAGUGCAGAAGAGGAGAGUGGAAUUCCAUGUGUAGCGGUGAAAUGCGUAGAUAUAUGGAGGAACACCAGUGGCGAAGGCGGCUCUCUGGUCUGUAACUGACGCUGAGGCUCGAAAGCGUGGGGAGCAAACAGG
rnacentral:rRNA from 1 species